AACGAACGCUGGCGGCAUGCCUAACACAUGCAAGUCGAACGAACCCUUCGGGGUUAGUGGCGCACGGGUGCGUAACGCGUGGGAAUCUGCCCUUUGCUUCGGAAUAACUCAGGGAAACUUGUGCUAAUACCGGAUGAUGUCUUCGGACCAAAGAUUUAUCGGCAAGGGAUGAGCCCGCGUAGGAUUAGGUAGUUGGUGGGGUAAAGGCCUACCAAGCCGACGAUCCUUAGCUGGUCUGAGAGGAUGAUCAGCCACACUGGGAAUGAGACACGGCCCAGACUCCGACGGGAGGCGGCAGUGGGGAAUAUUGGACAAGGGGCGCAAGCCUGACCCAGCAAUGCCGCGGGAGUGAUGAAGGCCCUCGGGUCGUAAAGCUCUUUGAGCAGGGAUGAUAAUGACAGUACCUGGAGAAUAAGCUCCGGCUAACUCCGUG
rnacentral:rRNA from 1 species